ensembl:rRNA 5S_rRNA 5S ribosomal RNA
ACUUACGGCCAUACCACCAUGAUCGCGCCCGAUCUCGUCUGAUCUCGGAAGCUAAGCAGGGACGGGCCUGGUUAGUACUUGGAUGGAAGCCGCCUGGGAAUACCAGGUGCUGUAGGCU